AAGACUUGCCUGCUGUGCGGAGAAAGAGAGAGAAGAAAGAGAUCAACAGAACUAAACAGAGACCAGCGAAAAGCAAUUUCCUUCACUCCAUGGUUUCAAUUUCAUCUUAGUUGCUGCACUAAUCGUUCUCAACCCCAUCCCUUCUCUACUCUAUUAGUUGUCUGCCCCCAUCCCUUCUCUUCAAUGGUGUAUUCCGAAGGAAUUUUGACUCAUAACCCUUUUCAUCCCUAUCUGUUGAAAUCAGUGGAAACACCCACCAAAUGAAAUCCUACAUGAGUUUUAAUGAUACCAAAGAGUAGAUGAGGGAAUCAAAACAUGUCCAACAAAGGUUACUAGAAGAUCUAGGAAGCAAAAAACUAAUUCCAAGUUCGCUGUAUUGGACAAGGGAACUAAAAUCUGUUCUAAUUUGAAAGAGAUUAGUGACUCAAAUAUGUUGAUGCCACACUAGAUCCAAGAUAAGGUUCUAAAGGAUGGCUAGAAGAAGAACGAGAAGACUAUACCUAGAUUUGCAUGCCAAUAUUGCCUAUCAUGGACCAAGAACCCACAGUAUACACUGUGGAUUAGAAAGUAUAGUUUUACCCGACAAAGCCAACAGUGCAGGUACUAAGGAACAACCGAACAAGCAAGUGAUGAGCAGCUUGGGGGAGGUUUGAUAUUGUGGGUCUUCUAAGAUAGAAGUUCAAUAGCAGUUUUGGGUAUAUGGGGACAACCAAAGAUGCAAUGGACAUAGAUUAUGAAUCAAUCUUUUGCUGUGUUGUUAACAACUACACCAUUGUUCAAAUGAACUCACAAAACACCGGUGCCACGAGUACACAAUUGAAGAGCUCAUCACAAAGAGCUUCAACAACGUCGACAUUGUCCUCUUUAGCAAUCAGAUUGGCCAGAUGAAUAUGGAGAAAGGUACAUCAUGGACAACAGUACCUAAUCUUUCUCCCUCUCUCUUUGGUAUUGGAACACCAAUGUUUCAUUUUCUUAAAAUUUUUUUUUCCUUUUGGGUUUUCAAGUCUGGCAGAUUAUUAUUGGAACACCAAUGUUUGAAGAAAUGCUUAAACUGAACUUUGGAUUGGAUGUGUGGCACCCAAUUGUUAAUGCACGUACUAUGCUAUUUACAGAUUUCUUUUAAAUUUUGUUGUGAAUUGUGAUAUCAAUAUUUGGUUAAGAUUAAUACUUUGAGCUAGAUUCUCAUGUUGUUGUUGCUUUAUGGUUAGAUACAUAAUUUGGAUCUAUGUAACUUUCUUCCUACCAGAUAAAUAGAUACUCUUUUUUUUUUUUUUUUGGUAAAAAUUUCCACACCCUGCUGUUGUUGAUUAGUCAUAAAGUUAAUUAAGCUAUUUGUGUCUUAGUGAGAAGAACAUGUAUUUUCAUGUUCUAUGGUUCUAUCUACCAAAUUACUCUCAGUUCUUGGUUUGCAAAAGUCUGAUUGCAAAAUUGAUUAGAGCUCUUAUGGAGAAGACAGUGACAAUGUGCCAUUUUUUCCAGGGCUUUCUGCCAUGGAAGCUUAUGCUGCUAUGCAAAGGGUUCACCCAAUGAAAUUUGGAUUUCAUUAGCAUAUCAAAUUUCAGUUUGAGUCCGACAAAAUCUUUAUUCAAAAUUUCCACAUUUUCCCUCCUUUCAAUGAGUUCAUCCUUCAAUUGAUUGAUCUCACUUUGCAAAGCCAUCUCAUGGGCAACAUGCAAACCUUUCAGUUCUACUUUCUCAGCCUUAGAUUGCCUUAUUUCUUUUUCUAAUGAUCCACUUCUCAAUUCCCAUUCUUUGAGCUUAGCAUCAAACAAGGUCUGCUUUUCUGACAAACUUGAAAUAUCAGAUUGCAAUUGUGCCUUCUCCCUAGAGAAUUGUUCUUGGGCAUCACGCAAUGAGGUGGUCAGAGUAACCUAAGAGUUUCGACAAAAAUCUCUUCUUUCUAAUCAUUUUAGUGUCUAAAGAGAAGUUAUAUUUAGGAUUUUGUAGAAUUUUAUUGUUAUUUCUAUAAUCCUAUUUGAUAACAAGCCAGUGAUGAAUUUGGGAUCUAGAGUAACCUAAGAGUUUCAACUAAGGGCUAAAACUUAUUGACUAUUGGUCCAUUAAAAAAUAUAAUGGAGUGUUUCUUUUAUUUGGUUUUAGGAUUAUUUGGUUUACUUUUUAAUAUAAUUGAGAUUUCGACCAAAGAUUCCUAGGUUGGAGUUAUCAUUUUUUAUACAAUAUGGAAAAUCACUUGAUGAUGACCUUUUUAAGCUGGUAACAACAUAGUACAAUGUUGUUUUCUUCUACUUCUAACGGAGAGUAACUAGCUUAAAAAUUAUUAUUAGUCAUUGUAGAAAGGGAGUUAUUAAGACCUGAAAUUUCAAGGACGAAACUGAAAAACACAAGGAACUAAUUUUCUAUAAAAUUUGGGGGAAAUUACACUUUACCACCCUAAACUAUGCACUAGAUUACACUUUGUACCCUAAACUAUCCAACUGCACACUUUGCACCCUAAACUAUCACACUUAUCACACUUUGCACCCCAGUGUUAUUUUUGCUGUUAUAUUUAACAAAAUCUUGUUGGAUGUGACAAACAUAUGCUUCUUGCUUAGGUGGAACAAAGUUAAAAGACUAAAAACACCCUUCUUCAAAAUCAAUUAAACAAAACCCAUCCUCUUCCCCAAAUUCAGUUUCAAAAUGUUUAAAAUCAAUCUUGUUGCUUGCGUUUGAAAAGGACCUUGGCGCAAAGGAAUCCUUAAUAUUUCUUAUUUUUGAAGGCUCAUAUCAGUGAAAAGGCUCUUUUCUUAUUUUUGAAGCCACACAGACCAUAAUAUUUCUCUUUCUUUUUAUAUUAAUAUAGCUCAUUCUUCCAUUUGAGGUGGGUUAAGGUCAAUCUUUGAAGAUUUUUUCCGUAUAGUUUUUCAAUAUAUCAAUAAUACAUUCUGUGGCUCAGUUUUCCAAUUUGGGCUUAGUUUUGAGGGUCAAAAGGAAGCAUUUGUAAUGUCUGUCCAACGAUGAAAACAAAACAAACAAUGAUUCGGGGAAGGUGGAUGGGGUACUGUGAAUAAAUUCUGCCAUGGAAUCAGAGAGGUAACUUUAAAUAUUUUGAAACUGAAUCUGGGGAAGAGGAUGGGUUUUGUUUUAAUUGAUUUUGAAGAAGGGUGUUUUUAGUGUUUUAACUUUGUUCCACCUAAGCAAGAAGCAUGUGUUUAUCACAUGCAACAAGAUUUUGUUAAAUAUAAUAGAAAAAAUAACACCAGGAUGCAAAGUGUGAUAAGUGUGAUAGUUUAGGGUGCAAAGUGUGCAGUUGGAUAAUUUAGGAUGCAAAGUGUAAUCUAGUGCGUAGUUUAGGGUGGUAAAGUGUAAUUUUCCCUAAAAUUUGAUGUGAUUCAAAGAUUGUUUGUUUGGUUAAAGAAUUGAAGUUUAGCACUGAACUUUGAGUGAGUUGAAAUAUGAUGCAAGAAUGAGCUUUUGGUGUGACAACAUCUCUCAUACUGAAUCUAAACAUGUAAAAAGGGUUUAAGUAUUUUGUAUUGUAACAUAAUCUAUUUAUGCUUUUCAAUUCAUGUUUACUAUUUGAAGUCAUGAUAUUCAGUCACCUGGCAUAAAGGGAAAAAAAAAUCAGAGGUUGAAAUCCAUUUUUCAUUCCCUGUAUUUGAAGUGUUUAUGAUAAUAAGUAAGAUAUAUAAUUUGUUGCGGUGGGUAUUUUGGCUUUGGAAAUUUUUUUUCCAUAUUAAUAAAGCAUCGUCACACUCAUUAUGGCUUUGGGAAGCUGUAAGUGAGGGGUACCCGUACCAAUGCUGAGUAGCUCCUGUUCCUGUUGCGGUUAGAAUUAUAUUGUGCCAUUGUGUGUGUGGUGCAUUUGCUUUAUGGGUUGUAAAUUUUUUUUGUUGUUUUGGCUACUUUUGUUUCAGGUGAAUUUCAUGUAAGAUGUGGUUGAGAUUUAUAAUAGAAAUGGUAUGUUUAGCUAAUUUCGGGCAAACCUUGCACAUCUUUCUCCUCCGCAAUUGUGUUGUUUCAGAUCAUCACUUUCAUGAUCCUUUCUAUUUGAGAUAUUUACAUGAUAAAUAGUCUUCAAGUAUGUUCUUUUAGGUUAACACUAUAAUAAUUGAAAGCAAGAAACUCCUAAUCUGUAGCAUCUCCCUUCUUUGAUUACAAGGACUGCACUGCUCAUAUUGUCAUUUUCCUGUGGUGCUAAUGACUAACAUGAAUACAUUCUUUUCUUAAGUUAUCAAUUUGUACUUUACCAUAUAAUUAAAUGUUAUCAGUGUAGUUUCUUCAUUUAUAUGGUUGGGAAAAUUACAAAGAGGUAAACUGUGGUUAGAAGUGAUUGGAUUCAUAUGAGCAUAAAAUGUUUGGGUUGGAAGAUCAAAUCAAAACAUUGAGAAAACAAAUCAAGGAGUUGAAGAAGAGGCUGUUCGAAUCAAAAUAGAACUUUAUCCAAUGGCUGUUGUAAUAAGCUUUUUUUUUUGCGAUUUCAUUCCAUACCGUGUAUUUCUUUGUUGUAGAAUGCUUAUUAUUUUUUUUUUAUGCUAAGCACCUCAUGGUAAGCAAAAUUGAAGAAAAUUUUGCAUUAAAAAUGUCUAGACAUGGAUUCGUACGUGCUAUGGAGACAUGGAGUGUUUAACAGCAAAAUUAGUUAGAGAACUUUAUCUUAUGUCUUUUAUAAUAAACUGCUUUUUCCUUCA